rnacentral:lncRNA from 1 species
GGGUAACAUUAGGAUUGACAAUAACCUUUUCCAACAAAGCUGCUUUUUCANCCUUCUCUUCUCUUCGAGCCUCUCUCUUUAUCUGUUUCCUUGGAGUCGUCAUUAUUUUCUCCCUGUAAAACAGCAACCGCUUUCAAUAAUAUGAUAAACUGCUCAUAACAAUUAAUUGCAACAUCAGUUUAAAAAAAUGAAUCAUAGAUAAAAGAUAGAACACAAAAUGUAUGACCUCACCUUAAACAUAAAAUCAUAUUCAAAAUAAUGCAUAGAUACAUACAUGUGUAUAAAUAACAGACAGGAAGAAUACCUAUUAUGUCACAACAUUCAAAAUUAACUCCAAUAAAAGAAACUUUGUUGGAAUUAAGUUUCAUGAAUCAUAUGAAUAUAAAACUAUAUUCAAUAUUUCAUUCAAACAUUCACAUCAAGGCAUACUAGUCCUAAUCCCUUAGCAACUAGUUCUAAAUUAAUAUAUCAAACUGUUAAUCCCUUAGUCAAUUUAACAUACAAUUUGCAUUAAGUUUGAUGCUAAAAAUGACAAAGUUAUUAACUUUAUCCCUAGAUCCCAAAUCACUUAGGUGCUUUAUCUAUGUUCAUGUUCAAAAUUACUUUUCAGUAAUAAGAGACAUUCAAAUAACAUUAUAUUUCCAUACAAUGAUAGUAAAUUCAAGAAAGAGCAUAUGAACGAACAACAGUAAAUUGAACAGGAAAGUUACAUCACAGUGAGUUCAUUAUAUCCAAUUCCAAUGAAAGAAACACUACUCCUAGUCAUCUAAACGUACACAUUUGAAGUAAUCCCUUGCAUUGAUGCCUUGAAGUAGUCUCAUGCAUUUCCAAAGAUUUCAAACAAAUACGACAUUGUGCAUUCAUCACCCAAAAGUUCACCUGUGCAUAGAAUAUGAACAACCAAAUCAAAAUUUAACAUCCUUACCAAUUAAGUGUUUGUCAUCACAUGAUAGUAGAUUCUAUCGUAGAACAUCUUCAACUUUUGCACCUCAUCUAAUUCACAUACUUCACACACCAUUGGUUAAGUCAAAAGGUCUUUUCAGGUUAAAGCUUGGCUUGGCUAGAAAAAGAAUCAUGGUUUUUCCUGAAUUCAAAGUCACCUCUUAAGAAGAAAACACAAGUACAUGCUUCAAUUCUCAAUUAAUUCCUCAAUCCCAAUGUAUAUCAUUCAUUUCAUACCAUAUUCUUUCACAAUUCAACCUUCUUUUUCAAUUCAAGCACCCUUUUGAUCAACUUUCCUUUUAUAUGAACAUCUUGUCUUCCCCCAAACUUAAAUUCAACCUUACCCUCUUUUAAAGCAAAAUACAUGUUCUCUUCUAGGGUGUAAGGUAGGAUAACAUAUAAUAGGCUCAAAGUGGAAGAAAGAAAUCAAGGUUCAAAAGGGUUCACAAAUGUAUCAUAUAUGAUGUAUCAAAGUUGGCU